GGUUUUCUGGAAUUUAAUAGAAGAUUAAGCCUGCUCACUGAUAAUAUUAAAGAGCUGCAGUAUUAUGACUGUACAAAGGUAGCACAAUCACUAACCUUUUAAUUAGAGGAGGGAAUGAAAGGCAAGACAAAGGGAUACUGUCUCGAGCAUAAUUUCUUUGAAUUUUUCUUUUCUGUUAAAAGACAGAGAUAUUAAUAAAAGACAAGAAGACCCUGUUAAAAUUUAUUUAGCUAAAUAAGGAAAGUAAACUAUGAUUGCUGCUGCGUUUAGUUAAAUUUUGCUGGGGCGGCAGAUAUAACUACAAAAUAAAGAAAAAUGAGAUAAGCAGAUAAUUAUAUGAGCCGGGGAAGGCCGAAUAUAAGAAUAAGUUACUAAAGGGAUAACAGCGUUAUAUUAUUUGAGAGUUCAUAUUGACAAUAGUGUUUGCGA
rnacentral:rRNA from 1 species